UCUCUCUUUUUUGCGUUUGUCUGAGUUCCAUCUCUUCUCCUCUUGCCAUUCUUAUUUUGCAAGCUGCAUCACACUCCCUUUUUUCCUUCUCCAGCAUAUUUCUGGUCUCCAUUAUCAACGUCUGUUUGCUAAAUUUGUCAAUCCGGCGAAUCUAUUCGCAGUGUUUAUCCUUUUUUCCAUUUGGGAUAUUCGGGUUGUGGCCGGAAUUAUGGCCGAUUUCCACCCCUUUGGGCGCGGCCUAUCUUCAGAUCUCUGCAGAAUCAAUCUUAUUUAGCUAAGUUGUGGUGCUUUGUUGGGGCUUUCCCAGCUAAAAGAGUAUAAAUUUCCUAGAAACUCCAGACUUAGAGAAAGCAGUUGCAGUAGCUGUGACUAUUAUUUGUUUCUCCCUUGAAAAAGAUCAUUAUCAAAGCAAUUUAUAUAAGCUACAAAGUGCUUUUGCUGAAAUUGAAAAAAAAAAAAAAGGUUAGCCAAUUUACUAAGUAGUGUUAAGUUUACAAUUUAUAAAUUUUUAUUAAUCGUAUUGAUAAUUAUUGCUUUAAAUAAAAAAAAAAUGGAUUAUUACAAUGCUGUUGUUUUGUAUGACUUAUUUAUACUAUGUUAUCUAUUGCAGAUUAUUGGCACAACAAUUUAUAUAAGCUACACUUUGCUUUUGCUCAAAUUGGAAAAAAAAAAAAAAAAAAAAAAAGGGUAAGUGACUGACAAGUAGUGUAAACUUUAGAAUUUACAAAUUUUUGUUAAUCAUGUUGAUAACUGUUUGUACAUAUAUAUAAAUAUGUUCUGGUAUUUGUAUCACCUUUUAAAAAUUUAUGUAUAUAAAAUAUCAUCAUGUGUUAAAGUUGUAUUUGUAUUUAUGUCUUUUAUACUGUGAUUAAGUCGGUUCUUUCUUUUUUACAAUGAGAUGCAAUAUUUUUUUUCUGUGAUUUUGCGGGUUUUAGAGCCUUGAA